rnacentral:lncRNA from 1 species
AAUAUGCAAAUACAUUUUAUCUGUUUAUACACAACCAGAGGCCACUGUAACAUCUAAGUUUUUUUCACCCUGUAAGAAUCAACCUUUGCCCCUGUUGGGGUUCACAUUGCCCCCCUUGCUUCUAUGUGAUUUAGAUGAAGAUGUUAGCACAAAAAUUUGUCUCCUAGAUUGCUUAUAGCCCGACAUUAUUGUAAAAGGGGUUUAUAUUCUGUUUUGUUCUUUAUGUAUCUCAAGCAUAUAAAUCAAACGGCAUAUAUUGACUGCCAUCAGAUCCUUUAGUGUGACCCAAACAGCCAUUCAACACAGAAUACCUUGUUCAGAUCCUUCAUGAAAUCAUUUUUAAUUCCUCAAGUGUAGUUCUCCAAUGAAGAUUUUGACUGCUUCUUAUUUCUCAGAUUUUCUAAUAUUAUCUCGUUUUUGUUUUCACAACAUCAUGAGUAAUAAUUUGGAAACAUAGACAUAGAUCAAAAAUUCUUCAAACGGACAGUUCUUCCUCUUUGUCCAUAACCUCCACUGGCUAACCUCAACUACACAAAAAUCACAGCAACAAGCAGUUAGAGUAAUUCAAAGAACACACACAUACUCACAAACUAAAAAAGAGGCAUAAUUUUAUUUGGCAAACCCAGACUGUGGCCAAAAUUGUUAUGUAAAGUAUAAUGCUUCAAAAAAUAGCCUACCCACAACUAUGCAACAUGGAGGCUCCUUAUGAAAGAAAGUAGAGAUUGAGGGGGAGGGGAGAACCUCCACAGGAAGAUGAAAGGGACAGCGUCCAGGUCUGGCAAAGCUCAAGUGGAAGACAUUUAGAAAGGGAAUGGGUUGAGGACUUCAAUAAAUGGGAAGAAGUUCCCUCUUCCCUGGACAUAUUUAGGGUCUGAGGACCAAAGGGAUUUAGAUCCUUUCCUAGGAUAACAAACAUGCACACGAGGAGCCCCAGCAAAACGCAGAUGGAGGCUAUGAACUCCGAAAGAACACCCUAGGGACUAAAGCAUGAACAUCAGAAAAGCACGGAGAAUGCCUAAGAAAGUCUUCCUCAGAUUCCACCAUCAUAGUCUGACUUACACGCCCAGAACUUUACAGUUUCAGACAAAAGAUUUUGCCAGUUUCCUACACCCAUCACUGAAAUGACCCGUUAUUAAAACCAUUGAUUUAAAAACCUAUGAGUAAAAUAUGUUAGAGACUUUCUCCCAGGGGCAACAGAAUUUGGGAUGAAGAGUUGGGGAGGGAUGGAUCUAUGUUACCUUGUCAUCUACGGAGUGAUUACAGCAGAAAAAUUCAGGUAGAAAUACUGGAGAUGGGGUGCAUGAGCAAAAUGUGCCUUGGUACUCUUCCAACACCUUGGUUUUUCCCCUUCAUCUGCAGAUCUCUCUACCACCCCCCUGGGUCCACCCUUCAGCCCCCAGGCACCUGCCCUCUUCACUCCUGGAUGAGAGAAGUGUUUCCAUCUCAGACACACUGACAUGGCUGACUUAUAAACCUUCUGUUGGCCUAGGGCAUAUGGUUCACAAAGUGGUCUCCUAAAUCGGUGAUAGAUAUGAACAAAUAAAAUGCUCCAUGGGAAAGUAAUAUUGAGAAAUCCAGGGAGAAUAAAUUUAAGCAGGUUUCCCAAUAGGCUAACAAACACUUGAUCCUUCAAGAGGAACAUGUAUUAUAGUUUCCCAACAUAUUGGAAGAUAGCUUGAAAAAUGCUAAAACACAACAUUCUAUUUCACUUUCCACUGACUAAUAGUAUUUGUUCAUGUGAAUUUUCUUUUGAGAUUAGGGGCAGAACAAUAACUCUGUGGUUACCUGGGCUCUAAAUGAGUAUUCAAUUAUUUCAAUUUGACAAAUUUUAAAAACUUAGCUUUCUUUAGCUUUUCUAUUCAAUCUAAAGUUCUUGAUCUUCAAACUGUAUAUCUAUAACUAAUACCAUGAGAAUUCUGUUAUUUCACUUUCACCUGUAUCAAAAUACCAUUCAUUGGAGAUCCCGUUGUGGCUCAGUGUUUAAUGUAUCCUACUAGGAACCAUAAAGUCGCGGGUUCAAUCCCUGGUCUUGCUCUGUGGGUUAGGGAUCCGGCAUUACCAUGAGCUGUGGUGUGGGUCGCAGGUGUGGCUUGGAUCCCACGUUGCUCUGGCUCUGGUGUAGGUCAGCAGCUACAGCUCCGAUUAGACCCCUAGCCUGGGAAUCUCCAAACGCUGUGGGAGUGGCCCUAGAAAAGGCAAAAAGACAAAAAAAAAUUUACAUU